GCCAAACAGCUAGCUCAAUUACCCAAUAACUAAACAAUAUAAAUAAAACAAAAUAAGCCUAACACCAAAAAUUAAAUCAUUCUUUUACCUUAGUAUGGGCGACAGAAAAGGUUACACCUGGAGCAAUAGAAAAAGUACCGCAAGGGAAAGCUGAAAGAGAAAUGAAAUAACUUAUAUAAGCACCAAAAAGCAAAGAUUAAAUCUUGUACCUUUCGCAUCAUGAUUUAGCCAGUAUAUCCAAGCAAAGAGACCUUUAGUUUGAAACCCCGAAACCAAGUGAGCUACCCCGAGACAGCCUAUUAAGGGCCAACCCGUCUCUGUGGCAAAAGAGUGGGAAGAGCUCCGGGUAGAGGUGAUAGACCUACCGAACUUGGUGAUAGCUGGUUGCCUAAGAAGUGAAUAGAAGUUCAGCCUCGUACUCCCUGAAUCAAAAGAUAUAAAAAGAUAUUAGAGGGAAAUAUAUGAGAGUUAGUUAAAGGGGGUACAGCCCCUUUAACAAAGGACACAACCUUUCCAGGAGGAUAAAGAUCAUAAUACAUAAGACAUCCUGUUCUAGUGGGCCUAAAGGCAGCCAUCUAAACAGAAAGCGUUAAAGCUCAGACAGAAAUAAGUUUAUUAUUCCGACAAGAAAUCUUACUCCCCUAAAUAUUAUUAGGCCAGCCCAUGCCCACAUGGGAGAGACUAUGCUAAAAUGAGUAACAAGAAGGCCAGCCCUUCUCCAAGCACAAGUGUAAGCCAAACCGGACCGACCAUUGGCAAUUAACGAACUCAACCCGAGAGAGUAAUGUGUAUUACAACGAAACCAGGAAGAACCCACAAUUAACCCAUCGUUACCCCCACACUGGCGUGCUAUUAAAGGAAAGACUAAAAGAAGGGAAAGGAACUCGGCAAACACAAGCCUCGCCUGUUUACCAAAAACAUCGCCUCCUGCAACACAACCAAGUAUAGGAGGUCCAGCCUGCCCAGUGACUACAAGUUCAACGGCCGCGGUAUUUUGACCGUGCAAAGGUAGCGCAAUCACUUGUCUCUUAAAUGGAGACCUGUAUGAAUGGCUAAACGAGGGCUUAACUGUCUCCCCCCUCCAGUCAGUGAAAUUGAUCUACCCGUGCAGAAGCGGG
rnacentral:rRNA from 1 species